rnacentral:rRNA from 1 species
AACACAUGCAAGUCGAGGGGAAACGAUAGAGAAAGCUUGCUUUUUCUAGGUGUCGACCGGCGCACGGGUGAGUAACGCGUAUCCAACCUGCCCACCACUUGGGAAUAACCUUGCGAAAGUAAGACUAAUACCCAAUGAUAUCUCUAGAAGGCAUCUGAAGGAGAUUAAAGAUUUAUCGGUGAUGGAUGGGGAUGCGUCUGAUUAGCUUGUUGGCGGGGUAACGGCCCACCAAGGCGACGAUCAGUAGGGGUUCUGAGAGGAAGGUCCCCCACAUUGGAACUGAGACACGGUCCAAACUCCUACGGGAGGCAGCAGUGAGGAAUAUUGGUCAAUGGGCGAGAGCCUGAACCAGCCAAGUAGCGUGCAGGAUGACGGCCCUAUGGGUUGUAAACUGCUUUUAUAAGGGAAUAAAGUGAGUCUCGUGAGACUUUUUGCAUGUACCUUAUGAAUAAGGACCGGCUAAUUCCGUGCCAGCAGCCGCGGUAAUACGGAAGGUCCGGGCGUUAUCCGGAUUUAUUGGGUUUAAAGGGAGCGUAGGCCGGAGAUUAAGCGUGUUGUGAAAUGUAGAUGCUCAACAUCUGCACUGCAGCGCGAACUGGUUUCCUUGAGUACGCACAAAGUGGGCGGAAUUCGUGGUGUAGCGGUGAAAUGCUUAGAUAU